CCGAUGGCGACCGGCGCACGGGUGAGUAACACGUAUCCAACCUGCCGACUAACUCGGGGAUAGCCUUCGAAAGAAAGAUUAAUAUCCGAUAGGAUAUCAAGGUCGCAUGAUCUUGAUAUUAAAGAAUUUCGGUUAUCGAUGGGGAUGCGUUCCAUUAGUUAGUUGGCGGGGUAACGGCCCACCAAGACGACGAUGUCUAGGGGUUCUGAGAGGAAGGUCCCCCACACUGGUACUGAGACACGGACCAGACUCCUACGGAAGGCAGCAG
rnacentral:rRNA from 1 species